AGCGAACGCUGGCGGCAGGCCUAACACAUGCAAGUCGAACGGAUCCUUCGGGAUUAGUGGCGGACGGGUGAGUAACACGUGGGAACGUGCCCUUUGGUUCGGAACAACACAGGGAAACUUGAGCUAAUACCGGCUGUGCCCUUCGGGGGAAAGAUUUAUCGCCAUUGGCGCGGCCCGCGUCUGAUUAGCUAGUUGGUGAGGUAAAGGCUCACCAAGGCGACGAUCAGUAGCUGGUCUGAGAGGAUGAUCAGCCACAUUGGGACUGAGACACGGCCCAAACUCCUACGGGAGGCAGCAGCGGGGAAUCUUGCGCAAUGGGCGAAAGCCUGACGCAGCCAUGCCGCGUGAAUGAUGAAGGUCUUAGGAUUGUAAAAUUCUUUCACCGGGGACGAUAAUUACGGUACCCGGAGAAGAAGCCCCGGCUAACUUCGUGCCAGCCGCCGCUGUAA
rnacentral:rRNA from 1 species